GCUAUGUGGAUCCGGUGGUUCUAGACUUGCCAACUAUGGCCUUGGAGGAAAGCACUUGAAGGACAGAGAUAAUGUUCCAUCAUCCUCUGUUCAUGUCAGCUGGAAAAGAAAUGUGUAUCCCACACACAAUUGUUUAUCUGCAUAUACAUACAGAGUCUGUAUUAUACCAAUCGUAAAGUGAUAAUGCCAGGGCAUGCAUCUUAAUUACUAAAUAUUGAAAUUAUUUAUAUGCAUAUGUAGGGGAUCUCAUUAGCAUAUAAUCAGAUGUUGUGAACAGAUAUGUGUUUCAUACAUGCAAUCCUAGUCUAAUGUUAACCUUUUUUGUAGCUUGAAAUUUAAAAACCAGCAAGAUAACAAAUGAACAUCAUCUAAUUAGCAUGGAAACACAACAGUCCAAUAUGAAGGUGUUAGAAACCUGAAGAAUGAGUGGCUAAUGGUUGUGCAGCAGGACUGAGUUAAUGUGUUCCUCUGCACACCUGAGGUUACAGGAUACAAAAACCGCAUCAUCAUCUGAACACAACACUGUUGGCAUCAUUACUCUCAUAGACAUCACUUACCAGGAAGACAGUACAGUUAAUAAUACCCCAGAAUAAUUAUAUGAAACUUGGCUGGACUAAUGCACUGCAAUGAGAUGAGAACAACUUGUACCCUACUGCUUUGAGUAAGCACCCAUUGAUAUAACUUGUCUAAGGUGUUUAUUAGAUCUUGCACCCCCCCUACUACAUGAAUAACAGGCUGUGUGCAUUUGUAAAAAUAUUAAUGUAUUGACAACAUGCAGCUAAUUUAAU